UUAUGUGAUCGUCUCUCGCAUAUCAAUAAGCGGAGGAAAAGAAACUAACAAGGAUUCCCCUAGUAACGGCGAGUGAAGCGGGAAGAGCUCAAAUUUGAAAUCUUAAAGGGUUUCCCUUUACGAAUUGUAGUUUAAAGAAGUGUUUUCUGUUGAGGUUUUGGUAAAAGUUCUUUGGAAUAGGACAUCAUAGAGGGUGAGAAUCCCGUAUUUGACCUUUACUUUCAACUUUGUGAUACACUUUCAAAGAGUCGGAUUGUUUGGGAAUGCAGUCCAAAAUGGGUGGUAAAUUUCAUCUAAAGCUAAAUAUUGGCGAGAGACCGAUAGCGAACAAGUACCGUGAGGGAAAGAUGAAAAGAACUUUGAAAAGAGAGUUAAACAGUACGUGAAAUUGUCAAAAGGGAAGCGUUUGACACCAGUGUUGUUUUUCUGAAAAUCAAUUAAAGAACUGUUUAUGCUAAGUUGUUUAGACUUUAUCAGCUAUCUGUUUAGUUUUGAGCUUUUCUUUAAUGCACUCUUCAGUUAACAAGUCAACAUCAAUUUCUUUUGCUGUAAAAAAGCUUGAGGAAGGUGGCUUGAGAUUCGUCUUAAGUGUUUAUAGCCUCUUGCCUAUGCAGUCGGAGAGAUUGAGGUCUGCAGCGUAGAUCCUUCGGGGCUAAAUGCAUUUGUGCUAAGUUAUAGCAUUUUAUAGACAACUUGUUGACUAUGAUUUGUCUUGUAGCUUACUCGCUUAUGUUAUUUUACCUACGCUUAGGAUGUUGACACACGCGCGUGCUCGACUCUAUACAUGACUCUGCGCAUAUCAAUAAGCGGAGGAAAAGAGGGCUAUUACCUACGCUUAGGAUGUUGACACACGCGCGUGCUCG
rnacentral:rRNA from 1 species